rnacentral:rRNA from 1 species
CCAAUAGCGUAUAUUAAAGUUGUUGCAGUUAAAAAGCUCGUAGUUGAAUUUCGGGGUUAGUAGGUUGGUCGUGCCUUUGGUAUGUACUGGUCUCACUGAUUCCUCCUUCUUGAAGAACUGUAAUGUCAUUAAUUUGGUGUUGCAGGGAAACAGGACUGUUACUUUGAAAAAUUUAGUGUGUUUAAAGCAGGCUAACGCCUGAAUACAUUAGCAUGGAAUAAUGAAAUAGGACGUUUGAUCCUAUUUUGUUGGUUUCUAGGAUUGACGUAAUGAUUAAUAGGGAUAGUUGGGGGCAUUAGUAUUCAAUUGUCAGAGGUGAAAUUCUUGGAUUUAUUGAAGACUAACUACUGCGAAAGCAUUUGCCAAGGAUGUUUUCAUUAAUCAAGAACGAAAGUUAGGGGAUCGAAGACGAUCAGAUACCGUCGUAGUCUUAACCAUAAACUAUGCCGACUAGGGAUCGGAUGAUGUUAAUUUUUUAAUGACUCAUUCGGCGCCUUACG